UCAAACGAGGAAAGGUUUACGGAGGAUACCUAGGUACCCAGAAACGAGGACAGGCAUAAUAAACGAUGAAAUGCUUUGGGGAGUUGAAAAUAAGCAUAGAUCUGGAGAUUCUCGAAUAGGCCAACCUUUUGAAUUGCUGUUGAAUCCAUGGGCAGGCAGGAUACAACCUAGAAAAUUAAAACAUCUUAGUAACAAGAGGAAAAGAAAACAAAGGUGAUUCCUAUAGUAGUGACAAGCAAAAUGGGAGUAGCCUAAACCAUAAAAAUGGGGUUGUGAGAGAGCAAUACAAGCAUUGUGCUACUAGGCGAAGUAGUGGAGUGCUGCACCCUAGAUGGAGAGAGUCCAGUAGCCGAAAGUAUCACUAGCUUACGCUCUGACCCUAGUAGCAUAGGAAACAUGGAAUCCCACGUGAAUUAGCAAGGACCACAUUGCAAGGCUAAAUAUUCCUAGGUGAUCGAUAGUGAAGUAGUACCAUGAGAGAAGGGUGAAAAGAACCCCCAUUGGGGAGUGAAAUAGAACAUGAAACCGUAAGCUCCCAAGCAGUGAGAGGAGACCAGGGCUCUGACCAUAUAUCUAUUGAAGAAUGAGCCGACGACUUAUAGGUAGUGGCUUGGUUAAAGGAACCCACCGGAGUCGUAGCGAAAGCAAGUCUUCAUAAGGCAAUUGUCAUUGCUUAUGGACCCAAACCUAGGUGAUCUAUCCAUGACCAGGAUGAAGCUUCGGUGAAACUAAGUGGAGGUCCAAACCAACUGAUGUUGAAGAAUUAGCGGAUGAGUUGUGGUUAGGGGUGAAAUGCCACUUGAACCCAAAGCUAGCUGGUUCUUCCCGAAAUGCAUUAAGGCGCAGCAGUUGAUUGGACAUCUAUGGGUAAAGCACUAUUUCGGUGCGAGCCACGAGAGCGGUACUAAAUCGAGGCAAACUCUGAAUACUAGAUGACCUAAAAAUAACAUCGGUUAAGGUUGGCUUGUGAGAUGAUGUGGGAUAAGCUUCAUGGUUGAGAGGAAAACAGCCCGGAUCACCAGCUAAGGCCCCUAAAUGACCGCUCAGUGAUAAAGGAGGUAGGGGUCCAGAGACAGCUAAGAGGUUUGCAUAGAAGUAGCCACCCUUGAAAGAGUGCAUAGUAGAUCAUUGAUCGAGCACCUGUGCACCUAAGAUGAACGGGGCUAAGCGAUCUGCCGAAGUUGUGGGAUGUAAAAAUGCAUCGGUAGGGGAACGUUCCGCCUAGAGGGAAGCACCCGCGCAAGCAGUGGUAGACGAAGUGGAAGCAAGAAUGUCGGCUUGAGUAACGCAAAUAUUGGUGAAAAUCCAAUGCUCUGAAAACCUAAGGGCUCCUCCGUAAAGUUCGUCGACGGAGGGUAAGUCAGGGCCUAAAAUCAGGCUAAAAGGCAUAGUCGGUGGAUAACAAGUGAAUAUUCCUGUACUACCCCUUGUUGAUCCCGAAGGACAGAGGAGGCUAAGUUAGUCGAAAGAUGGUUAUCGGUUCAAGGAAGUAAGGUACCCCUAUUUUUUUCGGGUAAGAAGGGGUAGAGAAAAUGUCCCGAGCCAAUGUUCGAGUAUCAGGUGCUAUGGUGCUGAAGUAACCCAUGCUAUACUCCGAGGAAAAGCUCAAACGACCUUCAACAAAAGGGUACCUACACUAGAAACUGACACAGGUGGGUAGGUAGAGAAUAACUAGGGGUGUGAGACAACUCUCUCUAAGGAACGUGAUAAAAUAACCCCAUAACUUCGGGAGAAAAGGUGCCUCCUCACAAAGGGGGUUGCAGUGAUCAGGCCCGAGCGACUGUUUACCAAAAACAUAGGUCUCCACAAAGUCAUAAGACCAUGUAUAGGGGCUGAUGCCUACCCAAUGCCAGAAGGUCAAGGAAGUUGGUGACCUGAUGACAAGGGACCAGCAACUGAAGCCUCGAUGAAUCGCGGUCGUAACUAUAACGGUCCUAAGGUAGCGAAAUUCCUUGUCUGGUAAGUUCUAACCCACACGAAAGGCAUAAUGAUCUGGGCACUGUCUCAGAGAGAGGCUCGGUGAAAUAAACAUGUAUGUGAAGAUGCGGACUACCUGAACCUGGACAGAAGAACCCUAUGAAGCUUCAUUGUUCCCUAGAAUUGGCUUUGGGCCUUUCCUACACAGCUUAGCUGGAUGGCGAAGAAGGCCUCCUUCCGGGGGGGCCCGAGCCAUCAGUGAGAUACCACUCUGGAAGAGCUAGAAUUCUAACCUUGUGUCAGGACCUACAAGCUAAAGGACAAUCUCAAGUAGAUAGUUUUUAUGGGGCGUAGGCCUCCCAAAAGGUAACGAAGGCAUGCAAAGGUUUCUUCGAGCCAGACGAAGAUUAGCCCUCGAGUGUAAAGGUAGAUGGGAGCUUGAUUGCAAGAUCCACCCAUCGAGCAGGGAUGAAAGUUGGCCUUAGUGAUCCGACGGUGCCAAGUGGAAGGGCUAUCGCUCAACAGAUAAAAGUUACUCUAGAGAUAAUAAGCUGAUCUUCCUUAAAAGCUCACAUCAACGGGAAGGUUUGUCACCUCGAUGUUGGCUUUUCGCCACCUAGCGCUGUAGUAUAUUCCAAGGGUUAGGUUGUUCGCCCAUUAAAGUGAGUUUAGAAUGUCGUGAGAUAAUUCAAUCCAUAUCCAGUGUGGGCGUUAGAGCAUUGAGAGGACCUUUCCCUAGUAUGAGAGGACCUAGAAGAACGCACCUCUGGUGUACGAGUUAUCAUGCCCAUGGUAAACACUGGGUAGUCAAGUACGGAGCGGAUAAUUGAUGAAAGCAUUUAAGUAGUAAGCCCACCCCAAGAUGAGUGCUCUCCUAUUCUGACUUCCCCAGGGCUUCUGGUAACAUAGCCAAGACAAUGAUAGGUUUUCUGCCCUUGCAGGGGUGGAGCGACAGAAGUUUUGAGAAUUCAAGAGAAGGUCACAACGAGACGAGCCGUUUAUCAUUACGAUAGGUGUCAAGUGCAAGUGCAGUAUUGUCUGCAGCUGAGGUAUCCUAACAGACCGGUAGGCUUGAACCU
rnacentral:rRNA from 1 species